rnacentral:rRNA from 1 species
AUUGAACGCUGGCGGCAUGCCUUACACAUGCAAGUCGAACGGCAGCACGGGUGCUUGCACCUGGUGGCGAGUGGCGAACGGGUGAGUAAUACAUCGGAACGUACCUUAUCGUGGGGGAUAACGCAGCGAAAGCUGUGCUAAUACCGCAUACGCCCUGAGGGGGAAAGCGGGGGAUCGCAAGACCUCGCGCGAUUAGAGCGGCCGAUGCCUGAUUAGCUUGUUGGUGGGGUAAAAGCCCACCAAGGCGACGAUCAGUAGCUGGUCUGAGAGGACGAUCAGCCACCGUGGGACUGGGACACGGCCCAGACUCCUACGGGAGGCAGCAGUGGGGAAUUUUGGACAAUGGGGGCAACCCUGAUCCAGAAAUGCCGCGUGAGUGAAGAAGGCCUUCGGGUUGUAAAGCUCUUUUGUCAGGGAAGAAACACCGGCUCUAACACAGUCCGGGAAUGACGGUACCUGAAGAAUAAGCACCGGCUAACUACGUGCCAGCCGCCGCCGUAA